CCAUGUGAGAGGCUCUGGGAGCAAAAUCUGUCACCGCACUGAUCACAAAGGUUGAUACCACUGAUCUGACUGUAAGAGGAAGGGACCCUUUCCUCCCUUACUGCUCCAUGUGCAUCCCCCCUGCCAAAGCUGAGUGCUGGAUGGAAGAGAACAACCUUCCCAGAUAGAAGAGGACCCUUAUUCUCUAGUCAAGGGUAUAGGAGUGUCUGUACUCUUCUGGUAGGACCUUCAAACUUGCUGGCAAGAAAGAAUGAUGAGCUCUAAAACAUUUUGUGAAAGCAAAUUUAUAAUUACUGAUGAGGCUAUUAAAAAUAAAGGUUGACAUGCAUUGUUUUUAAUGAUAUGCUUCAUUUUAAGCAUUAGU
rnacentral:snRNA from 1 species